rnacentral:rRNA from 1 species
ACGUAGGGUGCAAGCGUUAUCCGGAAUUAUUGGGCGUAAAGCGUCCGCAGGCGGUUUUACAAGUCUGUCGUUAAAGCGUGGAGCUCAACUCCAUUUCGGCGAUGGAAACUGUAAGACUAGAGUGUGGUAGGGGCAGAGGGAAUUCCCGGUGUAGCGGUGAAAUGCGUAGAUAUCGGGAAGAACACCAGUGGCGAAGGCGCUCUGCUGGGCCACAACUGACGCUCAUGGACGAAAGCCAGGGGAGCGAAAGGG